GACGGGACCGCACAAGCGGUGGAUGAUGUGGUUUAAUUCGAUGCAACGACGAAAACCUUACCACCUUUGACAUGGCAGGAAGUAUUUAGAGAUAGAUAUGUGCCCGAAAGGGAACCUGCACACAGGUGCUGCAUGGCUGUCGUCAGCUCGUGUCGUGAGAUGUUGGGUUAAGUCCCGCAACGAGCGCAACCCUUGUCAUUAGUUGCUACAUUCAGUUGGGCACUCUAAUGAGACUGCCGGUGACAAGCCGGAGGAAGGUGGGGAUGACGUCAAGUCCUCAUGGCCCUUAUAGGUGGGGCUACACACGUCAUACAAUGGCUGGUACAAAGGGUUGCCAACCCGCGAGGGGGAGCCAAUCCCAUAAAGCCAGUCGUAGUCCGGAUCGUAGUCUGCAACUCGACUACGUGAAGUCGGAAUCGCUAGUAAUCGUGGAUCAGAAUGUCACGGUGAAUACGUUCCCGGGUCUU
rnacentral:rRNA from 1 species